rnacentral:lncRNA from 1 species
AUAGAGUACCUUCCUCAUCCAUGGCCUCAAGCCCGAGCUUGGUGCCAAGAUACUGGAGCAAAACCCUGCGAUCGUAGAGCAGGCCUAUAUGUUGGUGGAAGGCCAUGAGUAUGCCCUAGAGAGCUCCACCGCGACGACGGCCUCUAUUUCCAGGACCACGGCCACAGCCAGCGCUACUACCACGGCUGCCCGAGCAACCUCGAGCACAGGAUGGACGAGGAGCACCCCAAUCACUCCAAAGAGUACCAGCCUGACCCUGACUAUGGCCGUCACCGCGCAGCCAGCCUUGUCAAUCGUUUCGACUGCCC